UGGGGAAUUUUCCGCAAUGGGCGAAAGCCUGACGGAGCAACGCCGCGUGAGGGAUGAAGGCCUCUGGGCUGUAAACCUCUUUUCUCAAGGAAGAAGAACUGACGGUACUUGAGGAAUAAGCCACGGCUAAUUCCGUGCCAGCAGCCGCGGUAAUACGGGAGUGGCAAGCGUUAUCCGGAAUUAUUGGGCGUAAAGCGUCCGCAGGCGGCCUUGUAAGUCUGUCGCUAAAGCGUGGAGCUUAACUCCAUUUAAGCGAUGGAAACUACAAGGCUUGAGUGUGGUAGGGGCAGAGGGAAUUCCCGGUGUAGCGGUGAAAUGCGUAGAUAUCGGGAAGAACACCAGUGGCGAAGGCGCUCUGCUGGGCCAUAACUGACGCUCAUGGACGAAAGCCAGGGGAGCGAAAGGGAUUAGAUACCCCUGUAGUCCUGGCCGUAAACGAUGAACACUAGGUGUCGGGGGAAUCGACCCCCUCGGUGUCGUAGCCAACGCGUUAAGUGUUCCGCCUGGGGAGUACGCACGCAAGUGUGAAACUCAAAGGAAUUGACGGGGGCCCGCACAAGCGGUGGAGUAUGUGGUUUAAUUCGAUGCAACGCGAAGAACCUUACCAGGGUUUGACAUCCUGCGAAACCGUGAGAAAUCGGGGGGUGCCUUCGGGAACGCGGAGACAGGUGGUGCAUGGC
rnacentral:rRNA from 1 species